GGGGUUGUGGCUCAAUGGUAGAGCACUUGCCUAGCAUGUGUGAGGCACUUGGUUCAAGUCUCAACACCA
rnacentral:tRNA from 1 species